GACGAACGCUGGCGGCAUGCCUAAUACAUGCAAGUCGAGCGAACAGAUGAAGUGCUUGCACUUCUGACGUUAGCGGCGAACGGGUGAGUAACACGUAAGGAAUCUACCUAUAAGCGGGGGAUAACAUUCGGAAACGGGUGCUAAUACCGCAUAAUAUCUUCUUCCGCAUGGAAGAAGACUGAAAAACGGCUCUGCUGUCACUUAUAGAUGACCUUGCGGUGCAUUAGUUAGUUGGUGGGGUAAUGGCCUACCAAGACGAUGAUGCAUAGCCGACCUGAGAGGGUGAGCGGCCACAUUGGGACUGAGACACGGCCCAAACUCCUACGGGAGGCAGCAGUAGGGAAUCUUCCGCAAUGGGCGAAAGCCUGACGGAGCAAUGCCGCGUGAGUGAAGAAGGCCUUCGGGUCGUAAAACUCUGUUGUAAGAGAAGAACGUUGAUGAGAGUGGAAAGUUCAUCAAGUGACGGUAUCUUACCAGAAAGCCACGGCUAACUACGUGCCAGCAGCCGCGGUAA
rnacentral:rRNA from 1 species